UAGCAGAGGGGGCAAGCGUUGUUCGGAAUUACUGGGCGUAAAGGGCGCGUAGGCGGCCUGCUAAGUCGAACGUGAAACUCCCCGAGCUCAACUCGGGAACUGCGUCCGAUACUGGCAGGCUUGAAUCCGGGAGAGGGAUGCGGAAUUCCAGGUGUAGCGGUGAAAUGCGUAGAUAUCUGGAGGAACACCGGUGGCGAAGGCGGCAUCCUGGACCGGCAUUGACGCUGAGGCGCGAAAGCCAGGGGAGGCAAACGG
rnacentral:rRNA from 1 species